GAUGAACGCUGGCGGCGUGCCUAAUACAUGCAAGUCGAGCGAACAGACGAGGAGCUUGCUCCUCUGACGUUAGCGGCGGACGGGUGAGUAACACGUGGAUAACCUACCUAUAAGACUGGGAUAACUUCGGGAAACCGGAGCUAAUACCGGAUAAUAUAUUGAACCGCAUGGUUCAAUAGUGAAAGACGGUUUUGCUGUCACUUAUAGAUGGAUCCGCGCCGCAUUAGCUAGUUGGUAAGGUAACGGCUUACCAAGGCAACGAUGCGUAGCCGACCUGAGAGGGUGAUCGGCCACACUGGAACUGAGACACGGUCCAGACUCCUAAGGGAGGCAGCAGUAGGGAAUCUUCCGCAAUGGGCGAAAGCCUGACGGAGCAACGCCGCGUGAAUGAUGAAGGUCUUCGGAUCGUAAAACUCUGUUAUUAGGGAAGAACAAAUGUGUAAGUAACUAUGCACGUCUUGAUGGUACCUAAUCAGAAAGCCACGGCUAACUACGUG
rnacentral:rRNA from 1 species